rnacentral:rRNA from 1 species
UGARGAAUGUUUGGGAAUCUGCCCAUCAGCGGGGGACAACCCGGGGAAACCCGGGCUAAUACCGCAUACGCUCUAUGGAGGAAAGCCGGGGACCGCAAGGCCUGGCACUGAUGGAUGAGCCCAAAUCGGAUUAAGCUAGUUGGCGGGGUAACGGCCCACCAAGGCUACGAUCCGUAGCUGGUCUGAGAGGACGAUCAGCCACACCGGAACUGAGACACGGUCCGGACUCCUACGGGAGGCAGCAGUGGGGAAUAUUGGACAAUGGGCGAAAGCCUGAUCCAKCGACGCCGCGUGGGUGAAGAANGCCUGCGGGUUGUAAAGCCCUUUCGGUAGGGACGAAAACCUUCGACUUAACACGUCGAGGGAUUGACUUAACCUACAUAAKAAGCACCGGCUAACUCUGUUGCCAGCAGCCGCGGUAAU